AUCUUGAUCUUGAAUAGCAGAGUAGUUGAAGUAAUUCAUGAUUUAGAGAGCUCCGUUAGGUGAAAGGGAGACUUGAAUCUUUGAUGAACAUGGGCUAGGAAUGAUCACUAAUGGCGAUAUUUAGUCAUUAGCGGGGUUGCUCUCGUUAACAAAGCAAGGUAUUUCUAGAGAUACUUAGUGAGGUUUAUUAUGCAAGUAAUAAACAAAUUAAAGGUGGUAACACGAGCACUCGUCCUUUUA
rnacentral:ncRNA from 1 species